GAUGAAGAACGCAGCGAAAUGCGAUAAGUAGUGUGAAUUGCAGAAUUCAGUGAAUCAUCGAAUCUUUGAACGCACAUUGCGCCCCUUGGUAUUCCAUGGGGCAUGCCUGUUCGAGCGUCAUUUGUACCCUCAAGCUUUGCUUGGUGUUGGGUGUUUGUCCCGCGUUGCGCGUGGACUCGCCUUAGAGCGAUUGGCAGCCGGCAUAUUGGCCUUGGAGCGCAGCACAUUUUGCGCUUCUAGUCAUGAAUGUUGGCGUCCAUUAAGCCUAUACAUUUGCUCUUGACCUCGGAUCAGGUAGGGAUACCCGCUGAACUUAAGCAUAUCAAUAAGCGGAGGA
rnacentral:misc_RNA from 1 species